rnacentral:rRNA from 1 species
GGGUGACGGUAGGAGCAGAAGAAGCACCGGCUAACUACGUGCCAGCAGCCGCGGUAAUACGUAGGGUGCGAGCGUUGUCCGGAAUUAUUGGGCGUAAAGAGCUUGUAGGCGGUUUGUCGCGUCUGCUGUGAAAGCCCGGGGCUUAACCCCGGGUCUGCAGUGGGUACGGGCAGGCUAGAGUGUGGUAGGGGAGACUGGAAUUCCUGGUGUAGCGGUGGAAUGCGCAGAUAUCAGGAGGAACACCGAUGGCGAAGGCAGGUCUCUGGGCCACUACUGACGCUGAGAAGCGAAAGCGUGGGGAGCGAACAGGAUUAGAUACCCUGGUAGUCCACGCCGUAAACGUUGGGCGCUAGGUGUGGGUCCCAUUCCACGGGGUCCGUGCCGCAGCUAACGCAUUAAGCGCCCCGCCUGGGGAGUACGGCCGCAAGGCUAAAACUCAAAGGAAUUGACGGGGGCCCGCACAAGCGGCGGAGCAUGCGGAUUAAUUCGAUGCAACGCGAAGAACCUUACCAAGGCUUGACAUGUACCGGAAACUCCCAGAGAUGGGGGCCCCGCAAGGUCGGUACACAGGUGGUGCAUGGUUGUCGUCAGCUCGUGUCGUGAGAUGUUGGGUUAAGUCCCGCAACGAGCGCAACCCUCGUUCUAUGUUGCCAGCACGUGAUGGUGGGGACUCAUAGGAGACUGCCGGGGUCAACUCGGAGGAAGGUGGGGAUGACGUCAAAUCAUCAUGCCCCUUACGUCUUGGGCUUCACGCAUGCUACAAUGGCCGGUACAGAGGGCUGCGAAACCGUGAGGUGGAGCGAAUCCCUUAAAGCUGGUCUCAGUUCGGAUUGGGGUCUGCAACUCGACCCCAUGAAGUCGGAGUCGCUAGUAAUCGCAGAUCAGCAACGCUGCGGUGAAUACGUUCCCGGGCCUUGUACACACCGCCCGUCAAGUCACGAAAGUCGGUAACACCCGAAGCCGGUGGCCCAACCCCUUGUGGGAGGGAGCCGUCGAAGGUGGGACUGGUGAUUGGGACUAAGUCGUAACAAGGUAGCCGUACCGGAAGGUGCGGCUGGAUCACCUCCUUUCUAAGGA